UGAUUUUAAAAUAUUGACGUUUAAAAGUAGGGCUUGAUGCAAUUUCCACGGCAUAUGAUCUACCCGCUAGCAACAAAUCAUUCCUUUGGCUUCAGAAUUUAACCGAAAGGAAACUAUUUUCUUCUUUUGAAUUCUCUUAAAAUCAAGUUUUUCCAGCUGGGUUCCACCUAAAUCACUUGUUUUCGAGAUGGGGGCUGUCAAUUCGGAGCUGGAAGAAUUAUUCCAGGAGAAAAGGCGAGUUAGGAAUCCCUUUGUCCCCAUAGUUAAAACUAGAUGAGGUUGUGUAGUGGUGACAUCACGGUUAAUUGAGUCAAGCUACGGAAUGUCAUUCUUCUCAGCUCAGCUUAGCUCAACUUUACUAAAUCUAGAUGUACACUUUUGAAAGAAACUUUAGGCGAUGGAGAAAGAAGCUUUACUUUAUGCUGCUCUUUUAUUGCAAUGAUGGAGCUUCAUAUAUUACCACUUUUGGGUGUUGAUGACAUGGAUUUUAGACAAAGGAAAAGUUUACAUGUACAUAAUUAUUGCACAUAAUGUUGUCCAUAAUGUGAUGUGACAAUUAUUCAGUUGAUGUGAAAGUGUGAGAUUUGAAUUAAAGGUUGGAUCCAGUGCCACAUAUAAUUAUGGACGCCAUUAUGUAGACAAUUAUAUACAUAUAGUACUUCCCUUAGACAAAAUAUGAUCAUUCACUAUGAAAUUAGGAUGGACGCUGAAGGAAGUAUCUCCCAGUUGGGCUUUCCUUUUUCACUUGCUAUAAAGGUCAAGUUUUUUGGGACCAUAUUAGCAUCUACUUCUAGUAUUUUCAUAUUGAUUUUUUUUGCAACAUGUUCACCAAGCUUUUCCUGCUCCUGCACCUAUGUAAAAUGGGGUUUUAAGCCAACCGAUCCAGCUAUUCCCUAAUCCACCCCAACUUUUAAAAAUAUCUAUAAAUAUUACAUUUUUACCUACUAAAAUUUAAUUACAACAUUUGAAAAUAUUUAGUUUGAGAAUCUCUAAAAUAUAAGUAUGUGUUUUAAUUUAAAUGUUUAGUUUUUUUCCGUCAUUUGAUCAUUAUGAAUGGUUAAUGAAUGUUAUAAAUUGCACUCAAAAAAUAAAACUUAUUGAUUUAUA